rnacentral:rRNA from 1 species
CACACUCGUCAUAGAUAGCAUGCAGUGUUAGUCAGUACGAACUGCGAAUAGCUCAUUAAUACGCUCAGAAUCUAUUUGGCGGCGACCAACAGGUCUUAAAUGGAUAGCAGCAGCAACUCUGGUGCUAAUACAUGCGAUUGUUUCUCCAGAUGUGAAUUAUGGAGGAAAAGUUGACCUCAUCAGAGGCACGCCAUUCGACUGAGUGACCUAUCAGCUUGUACUUAGGGUCUUUACCUAGGUAGGCUAUCACGGGUAACGGGCGGUUACCGUCGGACUGCCGGAGAAGGCGCCUGAGAGAUAGCGACUAUAUCCACGGGUAGCAGCAGGCGCGAAACUUUCCCACUCGAGACUUUCGGAGGAGGUAAUGACCAGUUCCAUUGGUGCCUUUUGGUACUGUGGAUAGGGGUACGGUUUUCCACCGUACCGAAACCUAGCAGAGGGCCAGUCUGGUGCCAGCAGCUGCGGUAAUUCCAGCUCUGCGAGUUUGCUCCCAUAUUGUUGCAGUUAAAACGCCCGUAGUCUGAAUUGGCCAGCAAUGGUCGUACGUAUUUUUACGUUCACUGUGAACAAAUCAGGACGCUUAGAGUAUGGCCACAUGAAUGACUCAGCGCAGUAUGAAGUCUUUGUUUUCUUCCGAAAACAAGCUCAAUGAGAGCCAUCGGGGGUAGAUCUAUCUCAUGACGAGUGGUGGAAUACUUUGACUCAUGAGAGAGAAGCUGAGGCGAAGGCGUCUACCUAGAGGGUUUCUGUCGAUCAAGGGCGAGAGUAGGAGUAUCCAACAGGAUUAGAGACCCUGGUAGUUCCUACCUUAAACGAUGCCGACAGGAGUUUGUCAUUUGUUAAUGGCAGAAUCUUUGGAGAAAUCAUAGUUCUUGGCUCUGGACUACGACCGCAGCUGA